UUAAACAUUGAAUACCAGCCCUACACCAGGCACCUUGCAGAUGCUAAGAGAUUUUGAGUCUGGCCAGUCACCCUUGUAUAUUCUGAAUCUGACAGUGGACUUUAUAACUAGGGGACUAACUUAGACCCUAAAAUGUAGGGUAUGUUGUGAAUUCUCACUUUUACAUUCAGGGUAGCUUUCUCUCCUAGACCGGAUCUGGGUGUUCUCCUAAUCACUGCACAAGCCUCUUUACCAUACACAAAGCUACAGUUUUCCCAAACCUCUAUCAUUUUGAUUCUUUGAGAAAGGGCUUUUAAAGAACUUCAUGUUCUGAAAAUUAAAUAAUAAUAAUAAUACAAUACAAGCAACAUCUGUGGCUCUGAUGUCCCCACUGGCGUUACUCAGCAGGAGCCCCCAACUGCCAAAAGUUGGCAACAAUCCUGCAAGCUCAAGGGCUCAUUCUCCUAGGCACAUGUGUCGUGUCUCUGUGUGGGGUGUUCCUUCCCCAGCAUGUCCCUGUCCGUGGGUCGUGGACUACACCAGUUUCUCUCUACAGCCUUGUUUGUGCUUCAUGUAACUGUUGCACCUUGCGUGGAAUGCAUUAACUGUAGAGGGUAUCUCUGUUUUAUAUAGAAACAAUGUCUCACUUCUGGGGGAGAAAGGAAUGAGGGGCAUAUAUGAUCUGUGCCUCCCUGGCACAAUCUGGAUUUCACAAAAAGGUAGUGAUCAGAAGUUAAACCCUGUUACUGGAAAUUCACCUGCAGUUUUUCCCUGUGUGUACGAUACAAGAACUGAUUCUCACUAUUCUCUUAACAACACUUUCUAUUGCAAAGUUUGUGUCAAUAAAGUCAUCAAUUUCAAACAUA